GUGCUUGCUUCAGUAUCACAUAUGCUAAAAUUGGAACAAUACAGAGAAUAUUAGCAUGACCCCUGAGCAAGGAUGACAUGCAAAUUCAUGAAGAUUUCCAUAUUUUU
rnacentral:snRNA from 1 species